UACGUAGGGACCAAGCGUUGUUCGGAUUUACUGGGCGUAAAGGGCGCGUAGGCGGCGCGGUAAGUCACUUGUGAAAUCUCUGGGCUUAACUCGGAACGGUCAAGUGAUACUGUCGUGCUAGAGUACAGAAGGGGCAACUGGAAUUCUUGGUGUAGCGGUGAAAUGACGUAGAUAUCAAGAGGAACAGCCUGAGGUGAAGAGGGUUGCUGGGCUGACACUGACGCUGAGGCGCGAAAGCCAGGGAGGCAAACGGG
rnacentral:rRNA from 1 species